GGGCAUGAGGGUAAUCUGGCUGCUACACCUGUCUCGCCAUUGAUCGUCAGGGUUGAUUCGGCUGACCUGGCUGGUGAGGUGCAUUUCCCUUCCUCCCUCCCUGCUCCACGUGCAUCCCUCCCAAAGCUGUGAAGCUGUGCUGUAGGUGGAAGAGGACCUUCUUUGGUCAAGGGUGUAGGAGUAGCUGUGCUCCCCUGCUAGAACCUUCAGACAAACUCUCAAGCACCAUUUGUAGGAGAAAGCAGGGCAGUCAAGUCUCCAAGACUCGGAGACACUGCAUGUUGCCGGCGGCCUUAA
rnacentral:snRNA from 1 species